CCCCCAUGAUGUCCAGCACUGGGCUCUGAUCUCUGUUGAGGACACAGUGCCCCCUGGGACCUUUGACACCCCGGGGUCUGAGUGGGGG